CCAGGUGAUGGCACCCAGAAGAUGUUCCCACCUGUGUAACUUGCGUUCUGCCCUCAGCAGAGUGAGCUGGUAAACUCCUUGAGGUCAUGACGAGCCAGACUGGGUGGACAUGAUGAUGUCAGAGCUAAGGAGGGACCUCACCUCCUCCUUAAAGAGGGCCCUAGGCCACCUCACUGCAGAAGUGGAGCUCCGACUAACCCGAGGAAGACAUAGCUGAAACCAGGGUGGACCAGCUACCCUGAAGCCUCAGCACUGAUGCAUAUUUAUCAGAUCAGCACUGGCAGCUCCAGCUCUAUUUCCUGAAUUCACACGGUGAGGACCAAUCCUCUACAGAGACUAAGUGGGUGACCUGGGAGGACUUGACAGUAUCCCUGAAUACCAGCUACCCUAAAAACAUUUCCCACCAAUCCACCUCAGCACCCAUCUGGUCUUUGAGUUAAAGCCUUGGCUUCCGAAAUAUGAUGUUCAGUAACUGACAUUUGUGUGAUUAUUCUCAGUUUACAAAGCACUUCCAUGUACAUUACUCACCUAGGUAUCAGCUAGGUAGGUGGUAGUGAUACUAACCCCAGUUCUCAGGCUAGGAAGUGAAAGCUCAGAAGGAUUAAGUAACUUCCACAAAUCAUAUGGCUACUACUUGGGUCAGGAUUUGAACC